rnacentral:rRNA from 1 species
AAAUUGAAGAGUUUGAUCAUGGCUCAGAUUGAACGCUGGCGGCAGGCCUAACACAUGCAAGUCGAGCGGAAACGAGUUAUCUGAACCUUCGGGGAACGAUAACGGCGUCGAGCGGCGGACGGGUGAGUAAUGCCUAGGAAAUUGCCCUGAUGUGGGGGAUAACCAUUGGAAACGAUGGCUAAUACCGCAUAAUGCCUACGGGCCAAAGAGGGGGACCUUCGGGCCUCUCGCGUCAGGAUAUGCCUAGGUGGGAUUAGCUAGUUGGUGAGGUAAGGGCUCACCAAGGCGACGAUCCCUAGCUGGUCUGAGAGGAUGAUCAGCCACACUGGAACUGAGACACGGUCCAGACUCCUACGGGAGGCAGCAGUGGGGAAUAUUGCACAAUGGGCGCAAGCCUGAUGCAGCCAUGCCGCGUGUAUGAAGAAGGCCUUCGGGUUGUAAAGUACUUUCAGUCGUGAGGAAGGCGGGUACGUUAAUAGCGUAUU